GCUCUUAGAUGCCACCCCGGAUGCCGGCCUGGUGCACCCCCUUGUACUCCUCCUGGAGAGGGCAGACAAACUCGGGCGCUGUCGUGUUGUUCGUCAAGCUGCUCCGCUCGCCGCACACCAACGUAACAUGCAGAGCAAGCCGUGUGGGCGCCGGGAAACACUGCUGGCGAUGGCCCCAAACUCAGAGACUUCGUCAUUAAGGCUGGCAUUGUACAACCUCUUUUGAAACUCAUUAGACCAGACACAGAGACUGCCGAGAUCAACGAGGUGGACCGCCUGGACCAGAUGACUGAGGAGUGCGGCGGACUGGACAAGACCGAGGACUGCAGCACCACGACAACGAGGCCGUGUACGAGAAGGCCCUGGAUGGAUAUCAUCGAGAAGUGUUCCGGCGAGGAGGAGGGCCCCGAGGUGAGCAGCCCCACCAGUGGCCAGGUGUACGACUACUCUGCCGUGAACAACGUGCCUGAGGGUGGAUUCUCUUUCUAGGACUUCAGUGUGCGUGUCUGGCAAGGGAGGAGCAGCAGCAGGCAGGGUGUGUGUUCCACGGCGGAAUAAUGUGAUAAUGUAUCUAACCGUCAAUCUCACUUGUCUAAGUGACCUCUGCAGCAUGUUUUACUGGGCCUUCAGUGGACCCGCUGGUGCCUCAAUGUUUUACUGGGCCUUCAGCGGACCCGCUGGUGCCUCAGUGUUUUACUGGGCCUUCAGUGGACCCGCUGGUGCCUCAAUGUUUUACUGGGCCUUCAGCGGACCCGCUGGUGCCUCAGUGUUUUCCUGGGCCUUCAGUGGACCCGCUGGUGCCUCAAUGUUUUACUGGGCCUUCAGUGGACCCGCUGGUGCCUCAGUGUUUUACUGGGCCUUCAGUGGACCCGCUGGUGCCUCAGUGUUUUACUGGGCCUUCAGUGGACCCGCUGGUGCCUCAAUGUUUUACUGGGC